AUUUUUACUCUUGAAUUCUGGAGUCAUAUUUUAUUGAAUUAGUUUCUCUCCUUUCUUGCUGUUCAGCCCAUAUGAUGCAAAUCAGCGCUUCAGUGAUCUACAGGAACGUGGAAAAAAAACUAACUCGGGUCUUGAAAGGAAAGAUGCCUAUCAUUCUUGCAGUGCUGAUUACUAACUUGUUCAUCAGACAGUGAACAUGAUAUUGGAAGAAAAUAGAAAAAUUGUGGGCAACGUCCUAUGAUUGUACUAAACUUAUCUCAUGAUCCCAGAGUCCUCUCACUACAGUUGUAUUCGGGGUUGUAGAUUUUGCUAUUGCGAGCAAGAGCCUGGUUGAGAUUUGUAUUUGGAGGUUUCUAUCUUUAAGUACUUAUUAUCCCUUUUAAAAUACAGAUUAAUGAUGCCAAAUAUACUCCUUGAACUGCUGUAGGCUUUUAUUAAUUCAAAUGUAUCUUCAGUUUUUAAAUCACAUCUCCAGAAUAAUCAGUGUUCCUUUGCUAUCAUGUCCAGGAAACUCCAAAAACAACAACAAAAAAAAACAACCCCAAAGUAUUCUUACCCCAAGUCUUGUGUUCUGUGUGUCCUCAGUGUAGCAUCCCAGGAUGAAGUGCGCGGAUGUGUGUAAGACUCAAGUGUUCAGAAUCCACACGAUCAAAUUUUUUAAGUUUGUACCGAGAGCCAAAAUAAAUUAUCUCUGUUUCCUUAUGAGCACUUUCUGAUGAGUAAGCAAUAAAAUGGUUAUACUUGUGGUUCUGUGCCUAAAGGAAAUGUCUUUUAUUUUUCUAUUUCAGUAGCUGAAAAUAAGUUUGGUAGCAUUUAAAGCAAGCUUAUUACAUUCAGGAAAUAAUUCUCUGCUGUGAGAAGGUAUUCAUAACCAAAUGCUGUUUUGUCACUAUCACUGAAAACAUAAAUUUGUAUUUAUAUAAGUUGUACAGAAUUUUACUUGGCAAUCUGCAUAUUUAUGAAAUGAAAAAACUGGAAUUUCUAUGUUGUACUUAAGUCUUUUCGCUGAAUAAAAGGAAUACUGUACAAAGA